rnacentral:rRNA from 1 species
CCCUUAGAUGUUCUGGGCUGCACGCGCGCUACACUGAUGCGAUCAACAAGUUUUUCCUAUGUCGAUAGACACGGGUAAUCUUUUGAACUCGCAUCGUGAUGGGGAUAGAUUAUUGUAAUUAUUAAUCUUCAACGAGGAAUUCCUAGUAGGUGCAAAUCAUCAGUUUGCAUCGACUACGUCCCUGCCCUUUGUACACACCGCCCGUCGCUGCUACCGAUUGGUUGAUCUGGUGAAUUAUUCGGACUGCCGGCUGAAGGGGUUUCCUCAUCUGCCAGCGGAAAGUCUUGUUAACCCUAUCAACUAGAGGAAGCAGAAGUCGUAACA